UCGCUCGCGGUGUUUGACUGACCGGUCCGGACGUCAUGCCGGUGGGGCUUCGGCGCAAGUCGGAGCUCCGUAAUUAACCCUCCGCGCUGCUCUUAACCGAGUGGUUCGGUGGGCCGGCACGUUUACUUUGAACAAAUUUGAGUGCUCAAAGCAGGCCUUAUGUUGCCUGAAAACUGUGUGCAUGGAAUAAUGGAAUAGGACCUUGGUUCUAUUUUGUUGGCUUUCUGAACUUGAGGUAAUGAUUAACAGGGACAGACGGGGGCAUUCGUAUUGCGACGUUAGAGGUGAAAUUCUUGGAUCGUCGCAAGACGGACCGAUGCGAAAGCGUUUGCCAAGAAUGUUUUCGCUAAUCAAGAACGAAAGUUAGAGGUUCGAAGGCGAUUAGAUACCGCCCUAGUUCUAACCAUAAACGAUGUCAGCCAGCGAUGCGCCGAUGUUCCUCCGAUGACACGGCGCGCAACUUCCGGGAAACCAAAGCUUUUGGGUUCCGGGGGAAGUAUGGUGCAAAGCUGAAACUAAAGGAAUGACGAAGGC
rnacentral:rRNA from 1 species